CCCUUUCACCGUCCUCCCUCCCCACCUCUCCUCCGGUAACCACCAUUCCAAUCUCUGUCUCUAUAUGUGUAUGUUGUUUUUAUCUUCUACUCAGCCAUAAGAAACGAUGACAUGCAGCUGUUUGUGAUAACAUGGAUGGACAUUGAGGGUGUUACGCUAAGGGAAGUAAGUCAGAGGGAGAGAGUCAAAUACCGUAUGAUUUCGCUCAUAGGCAGUAGUUUGAUUUAACUUCUCUUCAAGCAUCCCAAAACUCCCUACAAUGUAAAGUUAUGAGCAAAACCUCAAAUGAGGAUUUUCUAAGAAAGGAGUUUGGUGUGAUUGGUCUGGAGAUGUCAGCUCUGCUGCUGCUGAAUUAUAAACUAGGCAAGUUAUUACUAAACUGCAAAUUUGUUACCUCUAAUAUCUUUUCUACCUGUCCUGUUAUAUUCCGUUAACACUAGAUAAUUUAUGUGGAAUUGCUUUAAAACAAUAAAAGCACUACAUACAUUUUUAUAUUUAUAGUUAGAAUGAAUGAUUCCAUUAGCACUCUUGCCAGUAAACUGAUUAAGCUGAGAGAAUUGGGCCAUAGUGAGAGACUGUUUAGGUGACUAGUAAUGGGAUAAAGGAGGUACUGCUUCUAUGUUUGGAAAAGGUCUUUGGAGUUCUUAAACUAUUUUCAGCCUCCAAAUCCUUGGAAUUGUGUAGGCGUCAUUUGAAGAGUGGAAAUAAAAACAGUUACUAGUCUAUAGAAGUUGAAUUUUGAAAAAUAUUUGCUUUGUAUCUAAAUAUUUUACAUUUGUUUAAUAGCCCUGAUAUUCUUUUCAGUUAAGUUUUCUAGACUUUUAUCAAGAAAGAUAGUCUUCAAGAACUUAAUACAUUCCUCAAGAAAAAAAAACGGCUUAGAACUAUAUGAGAGAAACUAAGAAUGUUCUGAAGUACCAUAUUAGGAUUUGGAGAAAGAGAUAUAAAGGCCAAAAAACAUCUUGUUGAUUUGUUGAGAGGAAUAAAAAGAAUAUUAAUAUAGCAGUGUCACUCUUUUUAUUCCUUCUGAGUUAUAUGCCAAAAAUUAUUUACUGGCAGUGCUCUAUCAGAAUAUUCUUAAUGACAUAUCAAUUAGGUUUUCCAGUUUAGUUUGGUUUAGAAGCAAAUCCUUGGAAUCCCAACUUGGAAAAUGGUUCCUUACCUAGUCAUUAGUUUUCUCAAUAUUGACUGUUCAGUGCGCUGGUGGUGAUGUCCUGAAAGAAUGCACCAUGCCUGUUUUCCUCUUAAGCCUCACAUCUGUCUCUUACCUCUCCGAAUCUACUGGCUUAUGCAAAUGAUGUUCCUGCCGCCUCUGCUGGAUGAUGGCAGCUGCAGCCCACUGCUCUUCUCUUUAAGCAAGCAUGCCAGAAAGUUUGGAGAAUUGCAAUUGCCCUUUUCGGAGCAAAAGCACCCUUCUGGGUAGCUAAAGCUCUGACUUCUAAGUAAGGUAUCUUUACCAGGAUCCCUUCAUGGCAACCACAUGUAUAGGUAAAAGACCUGUCAUAAUCAUCAGCUCUGAGAAUUAUAAAGAUCAGCCACAUGAGGAAGGUGGGGGAUGGCCUUACCUAGAAACUUGUCAGAACGGAAGAUGAGGACUUAAAUCUGCAUGAUAAACUUACCCAGUGUUAACUGUGCUAUUUAAGUAAUAUGCUAUCUGACUCCCACUAGGUUCCUAUGGAUAAUAUCCCCUUGGAGGUGGGGUCACCAUGGUAAUGGGUGUUUGAGCUAUUUUUUUUCAGGAAUUGAACCCCUUGUCCACUUCAGGCCGGAUUGAGACCACCAACCCAUCAACUGGGCCCUUUUGACGGCAAGAGGUUGGAACUCCACCCUCAGGGCAUGCUAAUGAUGCCAUUCUGUGAACAUGUGUCCUACAAAGAGGAAUGAAGGCCGACCACGCUUGCGCAGAUCAUCAAUUCCCUCAUCUCUCCUCACUUCCAAUCAUUUCAGACCACCUUGCCCCCUUCGCCAUAAAUACCUCUGAGUCCCUAUUUUUGGGGAGGCAGAUUUGAGACUUGUUCUGUUUUCCUCACUUGGCUGCCUUGUGAUUAAACUGUCUCUGCAACCUUGU